rnacentral:tRNA from 1 species
GGGGAUAUGGCGGAAUUGGUAGACGCUACGGACUUAAAAUCCGUUGGCUCUAUAGACCGUCGUGGUUCAAGUCCCUCUAUCCCCA